rnacentral:rRNA from 1 species
CCUACGGGAGGCUGCAGUGAGGAAUAUUGGUCAAUGGGCGUAAGCCUGAACCAGCCAAGUCGCGUGAGGGAUGACGGUUCUAUGGGUCGUAAACCUCUUUUAUAAGGGAAUAAAGUGUGGGACGUGUCCUGUUUUGUAUGUACCUUAUGAAUAAGGAUCGGCUAACUCCGUGCCAGCAGCCGCGGUAAUACGGAGGAUCCGAGCGUUAUCCGGAUUUAUUGGGUUUAAAGGGUGCGUAGGCGGCUUUUUAAGUCAGCGGUGAAAGUCUGUGGCUCAACCAUAGAUUUGCCGUUGAAACUGGGAGGCUUGAGUAUGUUCGAGGCAGGCGGAAUGCGUGGUGUAGCGGUGAAAUGCUUAGAUAUAACGCAGAACUCCGAUAGCGAAGGCAGCCUGCCAGGCCAUGACUGACGCUGAUGCACGAAAGCGUGGGGAUCAAACAGGAUUAGAUACCCGGGUAGUC